GUAGCACUUGGACAUCUGUAACAGAUCACUUGUCAAUAUUUCUAUGGAUGAACUUGUAAAGCCAAUAUUACAAAUAAGUUAGUUUAGUGUAGCAAUUGGACAUCUGUAAGAGAAGUCAGUAAGAAAAUUCAAGAACAAUAAUACUGAUUGAAGGAGAACUCUGAAUUAGUCAGAUAAGAAUUUGUAUUUGA